rnacentral:rRNA from 1 species
CGGACGGGUGAGUAAUGCCUAGGAAUCUGCCUGGUAGUGGGGGACAACGUUUCGAAAGGAACGCUAAUACCGCAUACGUCCUACGGGAGAAAGCAGGGACCUUCGGGCCUUGCGCUAUCAGAUGAGCCUAGGUCGGAUUAGCUAGUUGGUGAGGUAAUGGCUCACCAAGGCGACGAUCCGUAACUGGUCUGAGAGGAUGAUCAGUCACACUGGAACUGAGACACGGUCCAGACUCCUACGGGAGGCAGCAGCG